rnacentral:misc_RNA from 1 species
GGAAGGAUCAUUAACAAAUCAUGUUGAGUUGCUUCGGCAACUCAUAUUAACCCGAACCCGGGAGUAAUCCCGGGCUUGGUGUGCUGAGCUGCUCUUUUGCGGCUUGGUGCGCGGUGACGACUAGUAAUGUAUGUAUGUAUGUAUGCAUGCAUGCAUGUAUGUUGCUAGUCUGAUCCACAUGGACGCUUGCAUGUUUGACAGAACUAGUUGACACUAUAAAAUGACAACUUUUAACAAUGGAUCUCUUGGCUCUUGCAACGAUGAAGAACGCAGUGAAAUGCGAAACGUAAUGCGAUUUGCACGAAUCUGUGAGUCAUCAAGUCUUUGAACGCAUCUUGCACCAUAUGAGCAAUUGUAUGGUAUACCUGUUUGAGAAUCGUAAACUCCCUCACCUACUUGUAGGUGGAAUUGUCGGUUUAGGACCCAUUCAUUGUGGUCUUAUCCGAUUAAAUGUAUUAGGUUUGGAUCGGGCUGGUGGCUCGAGACACUGUGUGUUAGAGACUUGGCGGUCCUCGGACUGGUUUUGUCUUCUCACGGUGCGUCUCGGGCCAUUCCAAAGCUGGCCCGCAAAGGACCUUGACUGCGCACUGGGUCACUCCAGUGGCAACCUUUCUCAUUGAUUGAUCUCAAAUCAGGUAAGGCUACCCGCUGAACUUAAGCAUAUCAGUAAGCGGAGGAAAAGAAACUAACAAGGAUUCCCCUAGUAACGGCGAGCGAAGCGGGAAGAGUUCAAAUUUAAAAUCUGGCUGGGUCUCCCAGUCCGAAUUGUAAUUUAAAGAGGCGCUAUCUGGGCCUAGCCUGGUGCUCAAGUCCCUUGGAAUAGGGCGUCACAGAGGGUGAGAACCCCGUCUGGGCACUGGUGCUAGGUCCUCUAUGAGGCGCUUUCUACGAGUCGAGUUGUUUGGGAAUGCAGCUCAAAAUGGGUGGUAAAUUUCAUCUAAGACUAAAUACUGGCAAGAGACCGAUAGCGAACAAGUACCGUGAGGGAAAGAUGAAAAGCACCUUGAAAAGGGAGUUAAAUAGUGCGUGAAAUUGUUAAAAGGGAAACGAUUGGGGCCAGUAUUGUUGUCGGCCGUUCAGCGUCGCAUUGGGCAACCUGUGUGGCGUGCAUUCGGUCGGUGGCGAGUCAGCGUCAGUUUGGGCUUCCGGAGAGAGGCUGGGGGAAGAUGGGGCUGGCCCUCGGGCCAACCCUUUAUAGACUCUAGCUGGGACGAGGAGCCUGGACUGAGGUGUGCGGCUGCAGUAAUCACGGGUCGAGCCCGGCUCUCAUGGGCAAGGACUACACGGUAGACCUUUACCGCAGGGGCAGGAGGUAGAGCAGUGCAUGCAGUUCAAGGAUGCUGACGAAAUGGUCUUAAACGACCCGUCUUGAAACACGGACCAAGGAGUCUAACACAUGUGCGAGUAUUUGGGUGGCAAACCCGGGUGCGUAAUGAAAGUGAUCUGGGUGAGAGCCUUGCGACUGUGCUUGGUGCAUCAUCAGCCGAACCUUGAUAUCUUUUGAUAGGUUUGAGCAAGAGCAUAUUUGUUGGGACCCGAAAGGUAGUGAACUAUGCCUGGAUAGGAUGAAGCCAGAGGAAACUCUGGUGGAGGUCCGUAGCCGUUCUGACGUGCAAAUCGAUGGUCAAAUCUGGGUAUAGGGGCGAAAGACUAAUCGAACUACCUAGUAGCUGGUUCCCUC